UAGCAAUUGGAGCAGAUCCAGAAGGAAC
rnacentral:piRNA from 1 species